rnacentral:rRNA from 1 species
CGUGUAGGCGGUUGGUUAAGUCGGAUGUGAAAGCCUGGGGCUCAGCCCCAGAAGUGCAUCCGAAACUAUCCGGCUAGAGCGCGAUAGAGGAGGGUGGAAUUCCUGGUGUAGCGGUGAAAUGCGUAGAUAUCAGGAGGAACACCGGCGGCGAAGGCGGCCCUCUGGAUCGUUGCUGACGCUGAGACGCGAAAGCGUGGGGAGCAAACAGGAUUAGAUACCCUGGUAGUCCACGCCUUAAACGAUGGGUACUAGGUGUUCGGGGUGUUGACCCCCUGAGUGCCGCAGUUAACGCAUUAAGUACCCCGCCUGGGGACUACGGCCGCAAGGUUAAA